AUUUAUUUAGCAGUGCUCCUCCUAAGUAAUAAUGACUUUUCAUAUUGCUUCAAGAUAAGGUAUAUGAUAACCAAACAAAAUAGGAAAUUAUUGUACGAGUCCAGCAUUUAUAUCUGGCAUUGCUUCGUUUUCACUUUCCCUAUAUUACCUCAAAUUUUUUACUGCACUGUCUACUAGAAAGCGAUUUUUGCUUGUUUCUCACUCUCAGAUGGAAAGACGAAGAUAAUGGUGAAUUGCCUUUAUUAUCUUUUUGUAGGUAUGUGUAUUUGUUAGCCUGAACGACAGUAUUGCUUGUCUAAUACUAUUGUCGUCUACUUGUUCAUUUAAUAAUAAAAGUAGCAGGUAUUUUAAACGAGUAGCGCGAGGGGGAAGCUUCUUCUCGCUCUUUUCCCAAUCAAACCCUGGGACCUGCCAUGAACAUGAGGAGGACUUUGGCUGUGAAUGGGAAAUUGGAGAUUGUUGGACGUAAUCCAUGGUUUAGUUUCCGAUACUUGGGCCCUGUCCUGGAGGGCCAGAGAAUCAUGUAAAAAUCCAUAUGUUUUGAUAUGUUUGGAGAUAGAUGGGGUAGUUUCGGUCACCUUUUCGUUAUUAUUAUUGUUAUUAAUAAUACGUAUUCAGC
rnacentral:lncRNA from 1 species